rnacentral:rRNA from 1 species
AACGCGAAGAACCUUACCUGGUCUUGACAUCCACAGAAUUUAGCAGAGAUGCUUUAGUGCCUUCGGGAACUGUGAGACAGGUGCUGCAUGGCUGUCGUCAGCUCGUGUUGUGAAAUGUUGGGUUAAGUCCCGCAACGAGCGCAACCCUUAUCCUUUGUUGCCAGCACGUCAUGGUGGGAACUCAGGGGAGACUGCCGGUGACAAACCGGAGGAAGGUGGGGAUGACGUCAAGUCAUCAUGGCCCUUACGACCAGGGCUACACACGUGCUACAAUGGCAGAUACAAAGUGAAGCGAGCUCGCGAGAGUAAGCGGACCACAUAAAGUCUGUCGUAGUCCGGAUUGGAGUCUGCAACUCGACUCCAUGAAGUCGGAAUCGCUAGUAAUCGUGGAUCAGAAUGCCACGGUGAAUACGUUCCCGGGCCUUGUA